UACAUAGUCUGUUCAUCUUGCCUGCCUUCUUAGGAGAAACCAAUUUACUGAAGGUAACUAUUCUUUAUUUACAUUUUAUUUGUUUCUUCCUCCUACUUGUAUGAUUUGCGUCGGAAAUAUUCUGACUACUUGCAUGAAUUUUAGACCCUACUUGCACAGUUGCUUGCAUUUUGUGUUGAGAAACAUCUGCUACUUAAAUGUACAUAAUACUUGCAAGUUCUAUUUGUUGACUGUGCCAUGAUAACUUUAGGUCUUUAGUUGUACAAAACUGCCAAAGUAGGUGACAACCACCUGCAGCUCAAUCCUUGUUUAACUCGACAGACAAGCUAAAGUAAAUGCAGAGCCAAGAUAAAUUGUUGUAAGCCUUUUACUGACUAGGAACGAGGGGUUGUAGGAAGGAACACUGCACUAUGAGUAUGCCCUUUGUUAGCUCUUUGCCCUUUUCUGUAACACUAGCCUAUAGAAGGAUGAAUGGUGUCAAGCUCCGAGCAACAAGUAGGAUUAUCUCAGUAGUAAGCAGUCAGCACCACUAUCUGAGAUUGCACAUUUACGACCAUGGUGGCACACAGAAAAGGAAGGUUGGUCUGAUGGCUGCUAUGGCAGGGGCUGCUGCACCGGCUCGGGACGGUGGAUUUGGAGCGAUGCACUCAGAUCUGACCCUGACAACCAUGUUGUUUCUAUGUCGCAUGAGUUGCUGUAGCUAGUCGUCGCAUGAGGGCUAUGCCAGCUGACGGCAGGGGGGUGACCUACACAAUGUGCUUGGCUCUGAUGGCCUGGGUAUCAUUGCAUGACCAGAUUUGGCAGCAAGCUCACUGAUAGGAGAUCAGGGACUCGAGCGAAAGCUCCGUGACCUUCUUAGAGGCAUAGUCGUGGACAUCUUCCUAUCCUUUCAUGUGCUUGGGCUCUCCGGGUGAGAACCUAAACUCCAGUUUUCUGGAGUGGGUGGCGGUGGCGUUUACGUCGUAACCAUCUUCGGAGGCGUUGCCUUGGAGGGCCAGCCUUUGGAUGUCGUGUGGGGCUCUUUCGUUUUCAAGGGCGGUGUAUGUCGGGGCUGCGGCUCCGGGAUCUUCUAUUAAGUGUCGAGGCUGCGUCCACGGGCAGUACUACGACAACAGCUCCAAGAGGUAGGGCUGCUUGUCGGCAUGGCUUAGGUGAGGACCUUGAAGUGCGGAAGCAGCAAGGUUGUCAGCUCCGUCAAUGUGCCCUAGUCGGGACUGUUGGACGACAUGUUGGGGCAGCGGCCCAGGAUGUGGUGUAGCGUUCGGGGUCUAUGUGCGGUUGGCCUGAGCAGCGUGAGCUGCGGGUAGCUGUAUCGUCCGACGUUAGUGCUUGAGGGACAAUGGUGGGGGUAGCGGCACCGGAAGGUGGUGCGGCGUUCGUGGUCUAUGUGCGGCUGUCAUGAGCAGCGUGGGCUAUAGUUAGUUGUAUCAUGCGGCGUUGCUGCCUGAGGAAGAGCGGUGGCAUGUCGGGGUUGUGGCGCGGGAUCCGUUCGUUCGAGUUCCUUCUCUUUUGUUUUAUCCUUUGUAAUCUAAUUUCUGCCUAACUACGGGCUAGAAAAGCUGUUGCAUGAUUAGGAGUAGAGAUAUGUUUUCUGGAACUUGCUUUUAAUCAGGAUGAGUUAUAGGCAAUUACAGAUUGAUGACCUGCAUUCCUGCUCAUUACUGAAAACAAGUAGAUUACCUUGCAAGCAUCCAUGAAUUCAAAAGCAUGGAGGAAAUUACCUACAAGCAGUAUACAGAGAGACUGAUUCUAUAAUAUUCUUUUUGUUGUAGACGGAAGAGAAAGCAAUAUGAAGUUUCUGAGGCAGGUAAUGUUCCUUGCAUCCUUAGCUUAGUUUGAUCCAAUUUUAUAGUGACAUUGGAGGCCAUGGAUUCGUAGUCCUAAUGCAUUGUACUAAAAUAAAUAAAUCCUCAACCAUGUUUUUCAGUAUGUUGAAUUAUGUGAGGAUAGUUUUCAGUUUAUACGCAUGUCUAUGAACUUUGGUUUCAGUCUAGGUAGGUCACACUUUGAUUGGAUAUUUGACAUGUUAGAAGAGACUUGUUUGAAAAAUAAUACCAGCCAGUCACACCUGUUUGACAUAAAGAAUAUGAAAUAUCUUCAAUAGCUACUCCUUCAGGGAAUCCUUUGCUUCUGGUAUAGUCUCAUAUUCAACCUUCUGAACUGACAUCAAACACGUCCUCUGAACUACCAGACUGAAUGGUGACUUUGUAGGUAAAGUAAUUUUAAGAAAAGUAGAUUAGUUGCAACAAAUAUUUUAGUCUUUCACCCAUAUUCUCUUGUUUUCUGCAACUAUUCCAAGAUAGGUCCCAUACUUUCCAUUGCAAUGCACAUCAAUUUCAUUUGGAAACAUACCAUGGUCCAAUUGUUUGUUUUCUUUACUAGUUUUGCAUGGCCAUUGUGUACAACCAUGUUAUAUGUUGCUUGAUGAAACAAGAAUAUGAUGUUUAUGAUUACAGACGAGUGAGUCAUAUCUCAUGAUGAGCCAUUUCGCCUUCCUUUAUGUAGUGUAAAUUUAACCAUUGACAUAUCACUCGGAGAAACAUUUUUAGCUGGGAGAAGGAAGAGAAGAAGGGUGCUUGAAUGGUAAAAAAAGAAGUCGUCAAUGCAACCCGUUGCAACUCACAGGUGUUCUACUGAUGCAGAGGUACCUUUCCUUGCUUGGGAGUUAUAUGUGGUUCUGUUUGCUAAAUCUGUUUUAGAUUUAGACUGAUCUUGCAUGCUUAGCUUUUUAGUGUAUAACUAGUUUGUAGGUCCUACUAUUUGAUCACCGGAUGCAACGGAUGGGUGCCGGAUGGCGUCUUUGGCGUUUCGUUGAGGUACGACCAAACUACACUGCAGUUCGGUCUAGCCAAAGUUAUGCAUGCUGUUUAUCUCUACUUUGCGUGUGAAUGUCCCUGAAACAUGGUUUUGUUUGACUCUAGGUUCAGGACAAUAAACAUGAUAACUCAAUCACUAUUAUCAGAACAAGGUAUGCACACUGAUGGUGAUGAACCCAGUGAUGGCGAGCGCGGGGGGCACGAGCACCAGGCUGAACAGCACAACGAGAGGCAUCACAGUGCGACACCGACGAGGCUAUCUGCCAGGACGAGGCCGGAGAGGCCCGGCAGCAUGCUGCCAACACUAUUGUAUGAAUAUGAUCAAGUGGUGUGUUGUGGGUGCAGUUUGCCUGUAUCCUUUUUUUAUUUGUCAGGUUUCUGUCUUCCUGGCUGGAUUGUGUCACUUCCAUUUAAUCAAAAGAGUUUUAAUUGUUCUCCGAAGACACAUCUCACUCACUGUAAUUAGGAACUAACUGUUGUUUGCCUCAAACAUAUACAUGAUCUAUUGACUCCUACCAAAAUUUCAGAACUACCCAUGCAGAAAAAAAACAUC
rnacentral:lncRNA from 1 species